rnacentral:lncRNA from 1 species
AGACCAUCUGGAGGACGUUAUUUUAUCUACAGUGGUGAAAUAUGAUCUACCUUGGAGUCAUGGAUCUACACAUCAAAAGAAUGGAAAAAGCUUACUAGAUUGGCUCUGGUCGGGCCCUUAGACGCCUAGGUUAUAUCAGACUUUGGAAUAAUAGUAAAGGAAAUACUAGAUGAUCAUAGUGGUGUUACCCUAUUCUAGUAGGUGUUUG